rnacentral:rRNA from 1 species
GACGAACGCUGGCGGCGUGCCUAAUACAUGCAAGUCGAACGCAUUUUCUUUCACCGUAGCUUGCUACACCGAAAGAAAAUGAGUGGCGAACGGGUGAGUAACACGUGGGUAACCUGCCCAUCAGCGGGGGAUAACACUUGGAAACAGGUGCUAAUACCGCAUAAUUCCAUUUACCGCAUGGUAGAUGGGUGAAAGGCGCUUUUGCGUCACUGAUGGAUGGACCUGCGGUGCAUUAGCUAGUUGGUGGGGUAACGGCCUACCAAGGCUGCGAUGCAUAGCCGACCUGAGAGGGUGAUCGGCCACACUGGGACUGAGACACGGCCCAGACUCCUACGGGAGGCAGCAGUAGGGAAUCUUCGGCAAUGGACGCAAGUCUGACCGAGCAACGCCGCGGGAGUGAAGAAGGGUUUCGGAUCGUAAAACUCUGUUGUUAGAGAAGAACAAGGAUGAGAGUGGAAAGUUCAUCCCUUGACGGUAUCUAACCAGAAAGCCACGGCUAACUACGUG